rnacentral:rRNA from 2 species
GGUUAAGCGAAUAAGCGUACACGGUGGAUGCCUAGGCAAUCAGAGGCGAUGAAGGACGUGCUAAUCUGCGAUAAGCGUCGGUAAGGUGAUAUGAACCGUUAUACCCGACGAUUUCCGAAUGGGGAAACCCAAUAUCCAAUGGAUAUUAUCAUGACGUGAAUCCAUAGCGUCAUGAAGCGAACCGGGAGAACUGAAACAUCUCAGUACCCCGAGGAAAAGAAAUCAACCGAGAUUCCCCUAGUAGCGGCGAGCGAACGGGGAACAGCCCAGAGUCUUAAUCAACAGCAGCAUCAGGAGAACGGUCUGGAAAGUCCGGCAGUAAAGGGUGAUAGCCCCGUAUCUGAAGAUGCUGUUAUUGUGAACUCGACGAGUAGGGCGGGACACGUGUUAUCCUGUCUGAAUAUGGGGGGACCAUCCUCCAAGGCUAAAUACUCCUGAUUGACCGAUAGUGAACCAGUACCGUGAGGGAAAGGCGAAAAGAACCCCGGCGAGGGGAGUGAAAAAGAACCUGAAACCGUGUACGUACAAGCAGUAGGAGCCUCUUUUAUGGGGUGACUGCGUACCUUUUGUAUAAUGGGUCAGCGACUUAUAUUCUGUAGCGAGGUUAACCGUAUAGGGGAGCCGUAGGGAAACCGAGUCUUAACUGGGCGAAUGAGUUGCAGGGUAUAGACCCGAAACCCGGUGAUCUAUCCAUGGGCAGGUUGAAGGUUGGGUAACACUAACUGGAGGACCGAACCGACUAAUGUUGAAAAAUUAGCGGAUGACUUGUGGAUGGGGGUGAAAGGCCAAUCAAACCGGGAGAUAGCUGGUUCUCCCCGAAAGCUAUUUAGGUAGCGCCUCGUGAAUUCAUCUUCGGGGGUAGAGCACUGUUUCGACUAGGGGGUCAUCCCGACUUACCAACUCGAUGCAAACUGCGAAUACCGAAGAAUGUUAUCACGGGAGACACACGGCGGGUGCUAACGUCCGUCGUGAAGAGGGAAACAACCCAGACCGCCAGCUAAGGUCCCAAAGUCAUGGUUAAGUGGGAAACGAAGUGGGAAGGCUCAGACAGCCAGGAUGUUGGCUUAGAAGCAGCCAUCAUUUAAAGAAAGCGUAAUAGCUCACUGGUCGAGUCGGCCCGCGCGGAAGAUGUAACGGGGCUAAACCAUGCACCGAAGCUGCGGCAGCGACACUAUGUGUUGUUGGGUAGGGGAGCGUUCUGUAAGCCUGCGAAGGUGUGCUGUGAGGCAUGCUGGAGGUAUCAGAAGUGCGAAUGCUGACAUAAGUAACGAUAAUGCGGGUGAAAAACCCGCACGCCGGAAGACCAAGGGUUCCUGUCCAACGUUAAUCGGGGCAGGGUGAGUCGACCCCUAAGGCGAGGCUGAAAAGCGUAGUCGAUGGGAAACGGGUUAAUAUUCCCGUACUGGUGGUAACUGCGAUGGGGGAACGGAGAAGGCUAGGUUGUCCGGGCGACGGUCGUCCCGGUUCAAGCAUGUAGGC